AACUGAGCCUACUAGGCUGAGCACUGUCAGUGUGCAAAUUAGCUGGCAAAGCUAUUGGACUGAGAAACACCACACAGACACAGUGAUGGACUGCUCUCCUCCCCAUCCGACAGAAGUGCCUAUUGGGGUGAGCAUGGGCAACUACGGAAAGGAUCCUGUGUACUAUUAUAGUUUUCGCACCAAAGAAACUAUUUGCGCUCAAGCUCUGGAAGGUAGGCUGGGCCCCGAUCCACCGCGGGAAGCAGAGUACUACUAAGUACUUCAGAAUGCUGUUUAAUUUCAACUUAGGGUAAGUUUAUAAGGUAUCACUAUUCUUGUUAACAUCUUCAUCUUAUAUAAACUCUGAGAGAUUUAUAGACGUACCCAAGAUUAGAGAACCGAUUUAACAGCAG
rnacentral:lncRNA from 1 species